CCUACGGGGAGCAGCAGUGAGGAAUAUUGGUCAAUGGACGAGAGUCUGAACCAGCCAAGUAGCGUGAAGGAUGACUGCCCUAUGGGUUGUAAACUUCUUUUAUAUAGGAAUAAAAUGUUGCACGUGUGCCAUUUUGUAUGUACUUUAUGAAUACGGAUCGGCUAACUCCGUGCCAGCAGCCGCGGUAAUACGGAGGAUCCGAGCGUUAUCCGGAUUUAUUGGGUUUAAAGGGAGCGUAGAUGGAUGGUUAAGUCAGUUGUGAAAGUUUGCGGCUCAACCGUAAAAUUGCAGUUGAUACUGGCAGUCUUGAGUACAGUAGAGGUAAGCGGAAUUCGUGGUGUAGCGGUGAAAUGCUUAGAUAUCACGAAGAACCCCGAUUGCGAAGGCAGCUUACUAAACUGUGACUGACAUUGAGGCUCGAAAGUGUGGGUAUCAAACAGGAUUAGAUACCCGAGUAGUC
rnacentral:rRNA from 1 species